ACAGUAAUUCAUUAAUGAAAUUUUCAAUUUGCCAACGUUGCUCUCCUUUCUCCUGCCUUCCACACACUUUCAGACUCUCUCUCGCACGACCUCUUCAAGCUUCAACCAAAAACCCUAGCGAUUCUCGUUCCUUUUCGACGAACCCGAAUCGAAAUCAGGAUCUGUUAAGCCCUAAUCGCAGCAAUCUCACGGCAUCGCGGGCUCCGUCCGCUGAAACUAUAGCAAAGAUUUUCGAUUAGGAAUCGAUUCGAUUAUCCUCCUCCUCAAAACCCCUCCGCCUCUUCUGCUGUUGCCUGCCGCUGCACCUCUUCCUCCUCCUCCUUUUCCUCUGUUGCCUGCCGCUGCACCUCUGGCAAAGGUACUCCGCGUUCAAGAAAGAGUGACCGAGUCAAUCAAAAUGAGCAAUUAAACAAUCAUUUGGAUGAUGGCUUUUCAUCUUUGUCCACAGGUUAAUCUCUUCUCCAAAGGUUCUCAUUUGUGUCUGGUUGACAAAUGAGAAUAUUGUAAAAAGAUAUAUUUUAGUUGCUUUGAAGGCUAUUCACCAUCUGUUUCCUUGCAAGGGGGACUCUGACUUUGGUAACAUGUUUGUUUUAUUCUUCGUUGCAUCGGUGUUUCAGAAGCUUCUGUUGAUUUCAUUUUAAACAAAACAUGAGGCAUGACGCUGGAUACAAGUUUGAUAGGCUAAUUAGUUACAAUUUGGUGAGAACUUGAGUUAAAAUUGUUGUUUUAGCAUUUCUUUUUCCUUUUGUAUUGGAUUUUUUUCGACUUUCAAGUCAAUUGUAAUUGGCUUUCCUGGUUUUAUUAUGUACAUAGUCUACUGUUCCAAAAUUAUCAAGUUGAAGGAUCACAUGAGAUAGAAGCAUUAAGAAAUAGAAUAGCGGCAAGUGUGAUGAAUGCAUCUAAUUAGAUUGCUAUCAGUCUAAAAUAUUUCAAUUGAAGUAGUUUGUCAUACUAAUUAAUAUUUAAGAUAAAGUUUAUAAAUAUUUUUCUUUUAAAAAUGAAGUAUAUUUAGUAAUUCACCUUUAUUUGUUAAGAAAAUUAAAUUAAUAGCACAUCUAGUAUUAUACUCUUUUUGGUCAUUUUACACAGUCAUAGCUGUUUUACAUAAAAGUUUAUCAAAUACUAUCAUACUACUUUUUUUUUUUUUUUUUUUCUAAAAGCACUUUUACAAAAAAGUUUACCAACACUUUGCUGUUUUAUUUCACAGUUGUUUAUUCUCACAAUACAGCAAAAACAGUUUUUUUUUCAAAGCACAACAAUACCAAACCAGCUCUUAUUCUAGGCUUCCCACAAGAUUGGCCUUCUCCUUUAGAACAAACUUUUGUAUCUUCCCAGUGGAAUUAGGCAAAUCCCCAAACACCAAAGCUUGUGGAACCAUAAAGGCAGGCAUUUUCUUCUCACAAAACCUCAUAAUCUCUUUACAACUUUCUUCACCACCACCAAAACCCUUCUUCAACUUCAAGAAAGCGCAAGGAGUCUCCCCCAAAACCUCAUCAUGUUUCCCCACAACAGCAGCCUCCAAAACUUGUGGAUGAGUCAGCAAAACUGCCUCCACCUCAAGUGUGCUUAUAGCCUCCCCACCAGAAAUUAUAAUGUCCCUUGCCCUAUCUUUCAUCUGAAUGUACCCACCUGAAUGCCUAACUGCCAGGUCACCAGUCCUAUACCAUCCACCACUGAAAAUUUCAUGAUUAGGGUUUGAGUGUUUCAGAUAUCCCAACAUCAAAGUGUUGCCUCUAAACAUGAUCUCCCCCAUUGUUUUUCCAUCAUAUGGCACACUCUCCAUAUUGUUUGGAUCCUUCACAUCAACCCCUUCCAUCAUUAGAUUGUACUGAGAUUCCAACUGGGGUUUGCAUGUUGUGACAAUUGCGGGUCCAAGAGCCUCGGUCAUGCCAUAUCCAUGGCUCACAUUAAACCCUAAUUCUGUAACCUUGAUCAGAAUCUCGGGUGCUGGCAAUGCACCAGCAACAAUAAUCUCCACACUUGAUUUUAUAACCCUAGAUUGAUAAUUUUCUGAGGCAUCUGCUAGAAUGUUUAAUAUAGAGGGUGCACCACAUAAGUGUGUUACCUUGUGAAGAUCAAUUGCUUCAAAAAUGGCUUUGGCUGAGACACUUCUGAGACAGAUAUUGGUGCCACCAAGAGCAGCAACGGCCCAAGGGUAGCACCAGCCAUUGCACCGAAACAUUUCGACCGUCCAUAGAAAAACCGGCAUUUUUCUCAUGUCACUCUGAAAAAUUGCUCCCAGUGAAUUUAGGUCAUUGUAAUUAAGGGCAUCUGGUGGAAGAUCAAGAUCAGUAGGAGAAGAUGAUGAUAAUUGGCCACACUUUGGGAUUUGAAUGAGGAGAGGUGGCUUGGAGUUGGACUUUGUUUGGGACAAAAUGUCAAGUGAUUGGAGGACAACUUUAAGGUACUGAUGAUCUACAAUAAUGACUUUGGCUUCCAGUUGUUGUAAUAUCAACGCUAAUGCGGGUGCGUCCAGCUUAAUGUUAAGUGCACAAAGAACUGCUCCAGCCAUUGGAACGCUGAAAUGUAGCUCAUAAAGUGCUGGAAUGUUUGGUGCAAAAGCUGCAACCUGGUCAGGGAAGAAGUUCAAACAUUUUAAUUGAUUAGAAAUUACUGUUACAUUAUACAUACUGCACAAAGUCAAGUCGUGUGCUUCCGCUAUACAGAACGUGUGUUACCUUUCUUA